CAACACUGUUCCUCUAGAGGAAAUGAGUGAAGAGAAGAAGACUCAACUGAUAAAGACACAGAAAGAUGUGCAGCAGAUGAUCCAGGACAAAAUUAAGAAGAUUCAAGACAUCAAAAACUCAGCAGAAAUCAGAAAGGAGAAGGUUCUGUGAUCCCAGGAACAUGCUGCUCACAUGACAACACAGGACUGAGCUGGAGGGAAGGGAUAUAUCCGUGUCCAUAGUGGCCGGGCCGAGGGUCACAGCCAAAGCCUGAGCUUCCUGCGCUGCCAUGGCUCCCCGAACUGCCUGAUCCACCUUGGAGAUCUUCCUUGUCCCAGUCCUGCACCAGCCUCCAGGGCGCCUGCCCCCUCGCGUGGGAUGCACCUUCUGGGAAGGGGGAAUAAUGUCGGGCUUAUGGACCUGUUUUGUGUUUGUCUUUGUGCCUCUUGCUAUCUUGCUAUAGAUGAACACAGGAUAGACAUAAUGAUGGCAGAGUAGAACUGUUUCAGCAGCUCCUGUGGCAGGUUGAACUUUCUCAGUUGGCGGAAGAAAGACAGCCUCUGCUGGGCCUUUUUCACAAUCGAGUCAAUGUGAUUGUCCCACUUUAGGUCCUUAGAGAUCUGAGAAAUGUUGGUAUCCAGGAAUCUGAAUGACUCUACUGCAGCCACAGUGCUGUCCAUGAUGGUGAGUGAGGGGAGUGCAGGGGUUCCUCCUGAAGUCUAAGAUCAUCUCCAUUGAUCUGAGAGUGUUUAGCUCCAGGUUGUUAAGACUGUACCAGACAGCCAGCUGCUCAACCUCCUGUCUGUAAGCAGAUUUGUCUCCUCCUGUAGUGAUCGGCCUUCCACAUUGU